rnacentral:rRNA from 1 species
AGUCGAGAGGUCCUGCGCCGAAAAUGUCCGGGGCUAAAACACGACACCGAAGCUUAGGAAUAUACAUUGUAUAUUGGUAGAGGAGCAAUCUUAACGGGAAGAAGCAGUACUGUAAGGUGCUGUGGACUGUUAAGAAGAGAGAAUGCCGGAAUGAGUAGCGAGAUGGAGGUGGGAAUCCUCCAGGCCGAAUAUCCAAGGUUUCCAGGGUAAAGCUGAUCUGCCCUGGGGAAGUCGGGGCCUAAGGCGAGGUCGAAAGACGUAGCUGAUGGACAACAGGUUGAUAUUCCUGUACUAUCAUAUGACAGAACUGUGGGGACGCAGAAAGAGAGCCUGAGCCGGGAAAGGGAAAACCGGUGCAAGCGGGGUAGGAGUCGUGUAGGCAAAUCCGCACGGCAAUCCGAAGACGUGAUGCGGAGCGAAUUAAAGUAGCGAAGCAGGUGAGCUGGCUGCCAAGAAAAGCCGCUAUUGUUCAUAUGAUACCCGUACCGUAAACCGACACAGGUGGAUGAGGAGAGAAUCCUAAGGCCGGCGGAAGAAGCAUUGUCAAGGAACUCGGCAAAAUGACCCCGUAACUUCGGGAGAAGGGGUGCCUGCGAGAGCAGGCCGCAGAGAAUAGGCUCAAGCAACUGUUUAGCAAAAACACAGGUCUAUGCGAAACCGAAAGGUGAGGUAUAUGGGCUGACGCCUGCCCGGUGCUGGAAGGUUAAGAGGAGAGGUUAGCGCAAGCGAAGCUUUGAAUUUAAGCCCCAGUAAACGGCGGCCGUAACUAUAACGGUCCUAAGGUAGCGAAAUUCCUUGUCGGGUAAGUUCCGACCCGCACGAAAGGCGUAAUGAUUUGAGCACUGUCUCGACAAUGCAUCCGGUGAAAUUGAAGUACCAGUGAAGAUGCUGGUUACCUGCGCCAGGACGGAAAGACCCCAUGGAGCUUUACUCCAGUUUGAUACUGGGAUUCGGUACUGCAUGUACAGGAUAGGUGGGAGACGAAGAAGGAUGGACGCCAGUCUGUCCGGAGUCGCUGUUGGGAUACCACCCCUGUAGUACUGGGUUUCUAACCAGUUACCAUGAUCUGGUAAUGGGACAAUGUCAGGCGGGGAGUUUGACUGGGGCGGUCGCCUCCGAAAGGGUAUCGGAGGCGCUCAAAGGUUCCCUCAGAAUGGUUGGAAACCAUUCGAAGAGUGCAAAGGCAGAAGGGAGCUUGACUGCGACACCGACGGGUGGAGCAGGUACGAAAGUAGGACUUAGUGAUCCGGUGGUAUAAAGUGGGAUUGCCAUCGCUCAACGGAUAAAAGCUACCCUGGGGAUAACAGGCUUAUCACUCCCAAGAGUUCACAUCGACGGAGUGGUUUGGCACCUCGAUGUCGGCUCAUCGCAUCCUGGGGCUGUAGCAGGUCCCAAGGGUUGGGCUGUUCGCCCAUUAAAGCGGUACGCGAGCUGGGUUCAGAACGUCGUGAGACAGUUCGGUCCCUAUCCGGCGCAGGCGGAGGAUAUUUGAGAGGAGCUGUCCUUAGUACGAGAGGACCGGGAUGGACGGACCACUGGUGUAUCUGUUGGCUAUCGGAGCCAUGGCAGAGUAGCCAAGUCCGGCAGGGAUAAACGCUGAAGGCAUCUAAGCGUGAAGCCCCCCUCAAGAUGAGUUAU